GAGACCGCGCCGCCGUCUUGUGAUCUCGAGAAGACGCUGUCGGAUCUCAUGCGAUCUCGCUGGCGCAGACGUACAGGAUCGCCGCCGCGGACGUAAGGGUCACGUCAUAUCUCGUCGCCGACGAGGUACGGGAUCGCUGCCGCCGACCUUCCUCAAUCUUUUGUCUAGGGUUCCCCGCCUCCGCCGCCGCCGCCGACGGCGCCAUAGCGGAACCUCAGGGCAGGUCAGGUCUCCAAGCAGCUCGUGCUUGUGUGGAGUCGCCGCACUCCGCACACCGCUGCCGUGGCGGAUCCCCGGGGCCGCCGCCGCCGCUGAACCCCAUGGACGAAGUCGUCCCACGAACGGCCGAUGCAGGCACCACAACAGCAGCUCGUUACCGAGUAAGUUCCCGGCACCCAGCACGCACGUUGGCACCAUGCUCUUGAAUAUCAGGGGCGCAGAUGAUGUACAGGAUCAUCUCGUCCAUGUCAUGGAACAAAGCCACCUGUUUGACGAGCUCCAAACAGAGGUAAGGCUUGAUGCCCCGCUGGAUCCACUUCAGAAAAGGGUGUUGACUGUUCCGAAUUAAGCCAAACAUGAAAUCUGAUUGAGGUAGGGAUGAAGCUCUUAUUUUGCAUAGUAUUUUUAGGCAAUUUCAGAAUUUACAUAACAUAUAUAUGUCCUUAGAUUAGAUAGUAUGCAUGCCCUCUGUAACCUGCUGAAUGUCUCUUGGGUAACUAAAAAUAUUCAGAAUAAUCUAAAUUUCAGAAAUUCUUCGUGGAUUAUGAAUGGCAGUUAUAUGCCGUCAGAUAGCAAGAUUGCUACUUGAACAGUUUGUUAUCUGUGAAGCUUAGGCGUUAGACGAACUAAAUUUGCUAUCAUUUUCCACCAUUUAUUCCUAAGGCCAUCAGAGCCAUUGACACACUUUCGCUGCCCUAAGGGAGUCCUGUUACCCUUUUUUUAGUCAAUGACCCACCAGUCACCACAAGUGCAAAUGGUUAGUUUACUAAAAUUCAAUGACAGUACAUAUUUACUCCUGUUUAUUUGCACGUAUGGUUUCUCAAUUUCACUUCUCAACAUGGUAUUUGCAACUUAAUCAUUACUCAACCGACCUGCUUUUGGUAUACUUUUUUACAAGUAUAAUCACAUUAAGAUAUAUUACUGUAUCCCCCCUAAAAAAGGUAUAUUACUAUAAUUUAGUAGGGCGCUCAUUCGAUUCACAAAACAAAUUUUACACGAGAUUGUAUGAGCUUCUGCAUAUCUGCAUCUAUAUUAGAAUCAGAUCAAACUCCUACAUUUACUAAUACAGUUGAUGCCCCUUAAAAUGAUUGAAACACCAUUGUUAUGCGAGAUUAUCGAUAACUCAGGCACUCAGCUGAUUAGGCAGUAAAUGGUGACUAUACCAUGUAAGAUGCAUUUUCCCUUCAGAAUGUAACAUGUGUUUUUAUGAAUUUUUGGAUGCGAAACCAUUUGCACACUAGCAUGCAUCCACCCUGUCAAAGAAAAUAAUAAAAUGAUUCAGCACAAUCGCAAGAUAUCAGUAGUUCAGCACACCAUGGUAGCACAUGCAUGACCCACCAUGUACGCUCACUACUAACACCAUAGUCAAUUCAAGCGACCUAUUGCUAGGAAGUGCAUGAGCUGAUGCUAGCAUGCCCUGACAAAACAUGAAAAAACUUGUUCUCUAAUGUAUCUACCGCCUGAGAGAUUGUUUCGAUACAAUUAUUGUAUUUAAGAAAAUAAUUACCAGGUUCUCUGAUGUAGUAGUUCACAGGUUCUCUGAUGCAAGGGCUCUGGGUCAUCAGCUUCGGCAAGUGGAGGUACAAGUUCGGGCACGACGAGCUUUAUUUCGUAAAAACGCGACUUUGAUGUUUGAAUCUUCCUUCUAAUAUUUUUAAUGAUAAAGAGGUUCUCUUAAUAGAAUGUGAAUUUUUCCCUUUGCUUGUUAGCUUUUAUGCUUUAUUGUGUUCUUCGUCAAACACAAACCGCUACCGACAGGGACUGGCAUGGACGCCGUGGACUUUCACAACACGGCCUACAGCACAGUUCCAACGUGCUCUGCUCCUCGGACUCUGUCUGUCUGUACAACAUCAACAACAGCCUGAUGGUUGCCUCUGGGCCAUGGCAUGGCAGGACAUGCAGGUCCCGAUUCAAUGGAGACAUAUGGAGGCGCUGGCCUGUUGCACGCUCGCUGGACACACAUGAGCAGCCACAUGGUGAUUGUCUUCACGGGAGUUUUCUUUCUCCCAAGAGCGCCAGCUGCCUGAAGGGACAAAACUAUGGAGGGGCGGUGAAGAGAUGAUGUUGAAGUACUACGUGUGAUGGAUGAAAUGCUGCUGAGACGUUACAAAAUAUUCCAGUAGAGGCAUCCUUACCGUCCGCAUUACAAGGAUAUGAGAAGAUUGGGGUCCUCAAGGCAGUGACCUGUUUACCAUACACAUAUUUACUUCCUUUCUAGGGCGGAACAAUGGAAGGCACAAUUCCAAGUACAGCUCUUCAAGAACAGGAUCUCUGAAGGAACAACAAUUUACAAGCUUGGCGCUUACCAGGUUCAAUAUGCUAGGGAAAGAUACAAAACUGUAGAUCGUCCAUGGAGAGUAGUGUUUGCCAAAAAAACUACCGUGGAACCAAUUGUGCCUCAGCCACCAAACUUUCCCAAGUAUGGAUAUACCACCUACAAUGUACACAGUAUCAAAGCCGCAUUAAACAAAUUGUUUUGUUGUCAGUUACCAGCAUCACAAGAAUAUUUGCGCCGAGCGGCGGAUCGAUUGACCAGAUAUGAGAAAAUCACAUCACAAACAAUACCCGCCGUUGUGACGUUUUGGGGAAAAUUAGCAGAUUCCCUUGAUGCAGACAAAGCUACAACGGUGGUCUGCUCAAGAACCCAUUAUAGUUCUAUUUGCUGGCAUGCCAGUACAUGAAUUUAAUGAAACUUAGCCUUCAAGUCCUGUCUGGCAACUCGAUGGUACAUAAAUCCAACUAUUUCUGAAGCGGCAACUAUUCUAGGAAGAUCUACUGCAAGAUCCCAUCAAAUUGAGAUAAGCACCGGCUCACAGGGUCAUCGCUAGACAAUACAACAAUCACAUAAUUAUCAGCCGUUGACCCUGGUGGAAUCAUGGACCAGUACUAUAAACUGGAAAUAAAGAGAACUGAAGUGUCCCCUUCCAUGGCGUUGGGGGGCCUUUCUCUGCCAGGCGCGGCGGCUCCUUGGUAGGAUGAUGCAGCUGGCUCGGCGGAGGCUAGGACACAUUACAAGCCCCCUAACCCACCCCGACGAGAAGGGCUGCAAGACGACAACUGCUUGCUAUUUUUAUCGUUGCAUAAAUAUGCUUAUUGUUACAGUGCUUGUCGCUGAGCUGGAGAUGGAAAGAAGCAAUCUUACUAUACUGUUGUGUGAGAAUUAUUAGUCUGCAAAUUGAUUACUAAUCCCUCCGUCUCAAAGUAAGUGACUCAACUUUGUACUAGCUUUAGUGCAAAGUUAGUACAAAGUUGAGUCACUUAUUUUGGGAUGGAGGGAGUAUUUUCUAUCCUUUGGUGAAAUGACCAAGAGCAAGCAAGAUGGUGCCAAUACUUGCGAGAUGAUAGUGUAGUUGGCCUUGACUUCCUUUUUUGGUCCUAACCAAUUUUAGAGAACAGUGUAAUGUUUUUCAUUGUUUAUUAUCCUCGGCGCAUACAAAAAAUUACUUGAGUCUCAGGUAGCCAGGUUGCAUUAUCACCAUCUUACAAAUAUUUGUUGUGCAGGUCUGAGCUGUGUGCAAGGAAGCUCAAGACAUUGGAGGAAAGCAUUGUCGGAUAUGUGGUAUCCUGACCCUCUUACUUGGGACUGGGAUAAGUUACAAUCUUACAUGUUCUGAGUUCUGUACUCCCAUGUACUUGUGUCCAAGAAUUUAUCUUGACAUUAUUUUAAAGUUUUUCUCUAAGAUGUGCAUAUCACCGCUGAAUUUUUUGCAAUAUAUAAAUUCAGUGUUAUUGUGAACACUUGAACAAUACAUACAGAUGUGUAGAAUGAGAUUGUUGUAUACUGAGGACUGAGGUUAUCCUUUAGUCAGCUAAAUAGUGCAUAGUUUACUGAUGUAUAUCAUUAAUAAGCUCCUAAUAAAUAUGAUUUGCGAAAAAAAUAAAUUGCGCAUGCAAGAGUCAGCUAGGUAAAUAUGAUUUAAUAGGUUACUGAAGAUUUGCGAUGAAUAAAAAUGGCACGGUCAGCUAGGUAAAUCUUAUCGAGUUUUACACAAUGAGAUGCAUAGAAAUAAUUGUUCUUCCUUGUACAUAUGUUGCACAUAAUAAUACAAAAGAUUUAUUUCUAUGUAUGUUUAUUUUUGCAGAGUACAUAUCAGAGAUGGAGAGGGAUUAUGUUGAUGUUCAAAAGAAUCAUAUUGUACAAGGGUCCCGAGGCAAUGUCGUUGGAAGGGGCCAAAAAUUUUCUGAGCUUUAUACAAGAAUAUUGGAUAUGCAAGCAGAAAAAAAAGGCUAAGGCCCCUUUUGGUUCAUAGGGUUGGAAUAAUAAUAGGAAUAUAAAAGUUAUAGUAAAUGAGAUGUCAUGUAUCUCAAAUCAUAUGAAUAGUAAUAGGAAAAGAGAUGUCCUUUCAUUCAUAUCAUUGGAUCUUUCCCAUUGAGUCUAGGUUAAUAUUAUUUUCA